UGCUCCCCAGGAGGGGGGCCGCGCGGGGAGGGAGGAUCUCCGAGGGUGCGUGUGAGCUCGAGGACUAGAUGCAGCCAGGGAAGCCUGGCCUAGGGGGACUUGUUCCACUUUCCAGGCAGCUUGUGGUGCCUUAGAAAAGACGCUAUUGUGUGCAGAGCGGGAGCCCCUACAGUCUGCUGGAAUCUGCCUCAGUUUCCUACGCUGAAAAAUGGAGUAAUUAGGACUGUCCCAGUUUGUUUCAUGAGCUACAGUUGAGAGCCAAUUAAGAGACACUAAAGACAAAAAAAAAAAAAAAGAAAAAAAAACCAGAGACACUAAAGACUAUGCAAAAGAUGAAGGAGAAGAAGAAGAAAUUUAAAAAGGAAGUGGGAACCACACAUACACACACACACAAAGAGGGAACCUGUAACCCUAUCAUCAUUUAAAAGUAAAAACUGAAGCCAGGCAUGGUCAUACAUGCCUGUAAUCCCAGCGCUCGGGAGGCUGAAGCAGGAGGAUACUUGCAAGUUUGAGGCUGGUCCACACUGCAAACCACUCUAGACCAGCCUGAACUGCAUGGUGAGACACUGUCUCUUAAAAAAAAAAAUAGUAAAAAUUUCAAAAAUCAGUUUUAAAAUUUCAAGAUUAAAUGAAAGCUGUAAAGGGAGAAAGGUAGAUAAACACGUUUAAUAUUUUCUCACACCACUUUAUCAUCUGUUAGUACAUGAUAAAGUUUAUAGGAUAUUCUUAUAUUUUCAGUACAUUACUCCAUUUGAUGUUUAUGACAAUUUAAAGGCAAGAUAGUUAUGGCUUCCAUUAUAUAAAGACCUUAAAACUUAGAGGAAACACAUACUCAGAAUCUUGGUUUCCUGACCCAAUAGUUCAGUCAUCAAGCUUUUAUGGUGAAACAGAUUCUGCAAAGAAGGUCGUAGUGUCACCAUGGAGGCUUUUUGGACCCCGAGAAUUUAGCUGAACUUCUCAGCUCUGCCAUUGGAACUCAGCAGCAGGCAUAGAAAAUACGCUGUCCGUGUUCCCGUCCACAUCUACUUAUGAACAUUGAAAUUUGAAUUUCAUAUACUUGUCAUGUGUUAUGAAAUAUCCCUGUCCUUUGGAUUUUUUUUCAGCCAUUUCAAACACUGUUAGCUCAGGCCUAAGUUUGCUAACCUUGUUGUAAAAUGCAGUCACGCAUAGUUGAAAGAGGGACAUGGCCACGCGUGGCAGGACGCCCUUGUAAUCCUAGCACUCUGGGAGGCUGAGGCUGGAGGAACCCAAGUUGAUGAUGGCGACCUUGCAGUUUGUGCCUGGCCUGCAGCUGGACAGGAGGGCGCUCUGAAACUCCUGGCUCUAAAAGACUCCAGUAGGGGGGCAGGUGAGUAGUCAGGUAAUUGGGAUAGGAAGGCACGCGUGUAAUAAUACAAUCAGAGAAGGCAGGGCAGGCGCGGGCCUCACGCUGGACUUACUGAACAGGUAAUGAAGUCCUGGAGGGCGGAGGCAGUUUUUUAACUGGGCCUUGGGAAAGGUGCAGGAUUUCCAUGGGUGGAGAAGGAAUGUGAAAAUCAGUUGAGCAAAAAGGCACGACUGGAGCCUCGUGGGUGGGUGCCGGGGCUGAAACAGGAGGUGAGGCUGGAGAGGGAGUUUUGCCCAGUUUGAGAUUCAGAUCAUUAAUAUCUGUCGCAGGAACCUGAAUGAUGGCAUUUCUGGGCACAUUGCAAGAGACAGCGCUUGUUGGCCAAGAGAGACUGCAGCACCGUUUCUGCUUUAACCUGCAGAAGCAAAGGAGAACACGGGCAGAACGUGGGGGCUGGGAGGCUCGCGCUAGCUCAGGAACGCUGUGGGCGGCUCCGAAAAGUCCCGGAUUGGGAAACAGCUGCCCACUAGAAAGUGAAGUCUCUGAGGGCUGAGCCCAGUCCCGGUUUUGUUUGUUGCACCCUCACUGCCUACACAGGGCCUGGUGCCUUGCCGGCCGGCGCUCAAUCAUGUGUCUACGAAAAUAAGAUGAUUUGCACUGCAUGAGGAACACCAGGAGGAGAGGGGGACGGUACGAGAGCUUUGCCAAAACCCAAAUGGCUACUGCAGAUCCAUCAAAAAGGCACUAUGAGCCGGGUGUGGUGGUCCACACCUGUAAUCUCCGUGCUUUUGGAAGGCUGAGGCAGGAGGAUCGCAAGUGUGGCAGCGCAUGCCUGUAAUCCCAGCACUGGGGAGGCUGAGGCAGGAGGAUCGUUGCACAUCCGAAACCAGGCUGGGUUACAAAGUGAGCUCAAGGCCAGCCUGAACCGCAUAGCAAGACCUUGUCUCCAAAAGACAAAAAUAAAUAAGUACAUAAAUAAA